rnacentral:rRNA from 1 species
CUGCGAAUGGCUCAUUAAAUCAGUUAUCGUUUAUUUGAUAGUACCUUACUACUUGGAUAACCGUGGUAAUUCUAGAGCUAAUACAUGCUGAAAACCCCAACUUCGGGAGGGGUGUAUUUAUUAGAUAAAAAACCAACGCCCUUCGGGGCUUCUUGGUGAUUCAUGAUAACUUCACGGAUCGCAUGGCCUUGCGCCGGCGACGGUUCAUUCAAAUUUCUGCCCUAUCAACUUUCGAUGGUAAGGUAUUGGCUUACCAUGGUUUCAACGGGUAACGGGGAAUUAGGGUUCGAUUCCGGAGAGGGAGCCUGAGAAACGGCUACCACAUCCAAGGAAGGCAGCAGGCGCGCAAAUUACCCAAUCCCGACACGGGGAGGUAGUGACAAUAAAUACUGAUACAGGGCUCUUUUGGGUCUUGUAAUUGGAAUGAGUACAAUUUAAACCUCUUAACGAGGAACAAUUGGAGGGCAAGUCUGGUGCCAGCAGCCGCGGUAAUUCCAGCUCCAAUAGCGUAUAUUAAAGUUGUUGCAGUUAAAAAGCUCGUAGUUGAAACUUGGGCCUGGCUGGCAGGUCCGCCUCACCGCGUGUACUUGUCCGGCCGGGCCUUUCCUUCUGGAGAACCUCAUGCCCUUCACUGGGUGUGUUGGGGAACCAGGACUUUUACUUUGAAAAAAUUAGAGUGUUCAAAGCAGGCCUUUGCUCGAAUACGUUAGCAUGGAAUAAUAGAAUAGGACGUGCGGUCCUAUUUUGUUGGUUUCUAGGACCGCCGUAAUGAUUAAUAGGGACAGUCGGGGGCAUCAGUAUUCAAUUGUCAGAGGUGAAAUUCUUGGAUUUAUUGAAGACUAACUACUGCGAAAGCAUUUGCCAAGGAUGUUUUCAUUAAUCAGUGAACGAAAGUUAGGGGAUCGAAGACGAUCAGAUACCGUCGUAGUCUUAACCGUAAACUAUGCCGACUAGGGAUCGGGCGAUGUUCUUUUUCUGACUCGCUCGGCACC